AACCUCGCCGACCAGGAGGAUUCCCUCCUGGGCCGGCAAGGUUGUACCGUCGACCAGGAGGGAAUCCUCCUGGUUGGCGAGGUU
rnacentral:miRNA from 1 species